rnacentral:rRNA from 1 species
AUUGAACGCUGGCGGCAUGCCCUACACAUGCAAGUCGAACGGUAACGGGCCUUCGGGUGCCGACGAGUGGCGAACGGGUGAGUAAUACAUCGGAACGUGCCCGAUCGUGGGGGAUAACGAGGCGAAAGCUUUGCUAAUACCGCAUACGAUCUACGGAUGAAAGCAGGGGACCGCAAGGCCUUGCGCGGACGGGGCGGCCGAUGGCAGAUUAGGUAGUUGGUGGGAUAAAAGCUUACCAAGCCGACGAUCUGUAGCUGGUCUGAGAGGAUGAUCAGCCACACUGGGACUGAGACACGGCCCAGACUCCUACGGGAGGCAGCAGUGGGGAAUUUUGGACAAUGGGCGCAAGCCUGAUCCAGCCAUGCCGCGUGCAGGAUGAAGGCCUUCGGGUUGUAAACUGCUUUUGUACGGAACGAAAAGCCUUCUUUUAAUACAGGAGGGUCAUGACGGUACCGUAAGAAUAAGCACCGGCUAACUACGUG